rnacentral:rRNA from 1 species
UAGGGAAUCUUUGGCAAUGGACGAAAGUCUGACCGAGCAACGCCGCGGGAGUGAAGAAGGUUUUCGGAUCGUAAAACUCUGUUUUUAGAGAAGAACAAGGACGUUAGUAACUGAACGUCCCCUGACGGUAUCUAACCAGAAAGCCACGGCUAACUACGUGCCAGCAGCCGCGGUAAUACGUAGGUGGCAAGCGUUGUCCGGAUUUAUUGGGCGUAAAGCGAGCGCAGGCGGUUUCUUAAGUCUGAUGUGAAAGCCCCCGGAUCAACCGGGGAGGGUUAUUGGAAACUGGGAGACUUGGGUGCAGAAGAGGAGAGUGGAAGUGCAUGUAUAGCGGUGAAAUGCGUAGAUAUAUGGAGGAACACCAGUGGCGAAGGCGGCUCUGUGGUCUGUAUCAGACGCUGGGGCUAGAAAGCGUGGGGCGCAAACAGG